CUGGUGCGAGCCUAGCCUUCGUUCCUUCGCCGUCCCGACCGUGCUUUCGCGCGUGCAGCUGCCGCAGUCUUUCUAGAUUAACCGGCCCCAUCUCCCGUCUUCCCGAUUCGGCCCUGGCCUUAAUCGUUUCUCGACCCAGGCCGCGGACUUCGUUUCCGCCACUACCCCGAUACUUCCGGGAUCUGCGGAAACGGCCCGUUGCCAUGGCGGCUAUGUACACAGUUCUGCAGCGGCGAGUGCGGGCUUGCAGUCGCUGCACAGGCAGCGGAAGGCGGCGGGAGGGCCACUGCCUCCGGGGCGGUGAACAGGGGCCACGCUUCGCCCGGGUGAGGAGAAGCAAGGCUCGAGAGGGGCGGGCAGCGACUAGGAUCCGAACACCGCUCCACCCGGGAGUCCCCCGGCUUAGCUCGCUGAUCUGUGAAACCCGAGCCGAGGAGAGGGCGCGGCAUCGUGGGGACCCUUUCCGGCUGGCUGCGACUUAGGGUCUUCGAAUCUAACGUUCCCUGGCCGCACGAGGGCUCUGCGUCGCUGCCUAGGUUGAGAGGGCCCGAAGUGGGGAACCAGAGGUCUGGACAGUUUUCGAACUGGAGGGGGCUUCAGGAUCGCCAGGUCGACCCGCUCGCUUUACAGAUGAGGAAACCGCUCCAGAGAGGGACAGGAAUGGUCCCAAGGCCAACUGCCUCCCACAAUCCACAAAGGGGUCCGUAGUGACGGAAGAUGGACCCACAUGUGGAGAUUCAGCUGUCCUCUGACUUCCAGCCAUGACCAUCACUACCAACCACCAUUUCUUGAGUUCCUGCUCUGUGCUGGGCACUGUUCUGGACACUGAGGGGGGAUUCAAAAGAGAUAAAGCACAGUUCAAUCCCUCAAGCAACUUGUAAUUUAAUUUGGGAGCAGAAACCCACUCAAAUGAUGCAGCGUAAGAAUGGUAACAAGCAUUAUUUCAAAAUACCCAGGGGAUUUCUUUGGCUUCAACUCCUCUUUCCUCCCCCAUGAAGCUAGAAUGGGCACUAGAAAAAAAGUUCAUGCAUUUGUCCGCGUCAAACCCACCGAUGAUUUUGCUCACGAAAUGAUCAAAUACGGAGAUGACAAUAAAAGCAUUGAUAUUCACUUAAAAAAAGAUCUUCAGAGAGGAGUUGUCAAUAACAAGCAGACAGACUGGUCUUUCAAGCUGGAUGGAGUUCUCCACAAUGCCUCCCAGGACUUAGUUUAUGAGACAGUUGCAAAGGAUGUGGUUGCUCAAGCCCUCGAUGGAUACAAUGGUACCAUCAUGUGUUACGGGCAGACAGGAGCCGGCAAGACAUACACCAUGACAGGGGCAACUGAGAAUUACAAGCACCGGGGGAUCCUUCCUCGUGCCCUACAGCAGGUUUUUAGGAUGAUCGAAGAACGCCCCACACAUGCCAUCGCUGUGCGUGUUUCCUACCUGGAAAUCUACAACGAGAGUCUCUUUGAUCUCCUGUCCACUCUGCCCUAUGUCGGACCAUCAGUCACACCAUUGACCAUUGUGGAAAACCCUCAAGGGGUCUUCGUUAAGGGCUUGUCAGUCCACCUUACAGGUCAGGAGGAGGAUGCCUUCAGUCUCCUUUUUGAGGGAGAGACCAACAGGAUUAUUGCCUCCCACACAAUGAACAAAAACUCAUCCCGGUCACACUGCAUUUUCACCAUCUACGUGGAGGCCCAUUCACGGACUUUAUCAGACGAAAAGUACAUCACUUCCAAAAUUAACUUGGUGGAUCUAGCGGGCUCGGAAAGGCUGGGGAAGUCUGGGUCGGAGGGCCGCGUGCUGAAGGAAGCCACCUACAUCAACAAGUCGCUAUCAUUCCUGGAGCAGGCCAUCAUUGCCCUCGGGGACCAGAAGCGGGACCACAUCCCCUUCCGGCAAUGCAAGCUCACCCACGCCCUGAAGGACUCAUUAGGGGGAAAUUGCAAUAUGGUCCUCUUGACGAACAUCUAUGGAGAAGCUGCCCAGUUGGAAGAGACGCUUUCUUCCCUGCGGUUUGCCAGCAGGAUGAAGCUGGUCACCACAGAGCCUGCCAUCAACGAAAAGUAUGAUGCUGAGCGAAUGGUCAAGAACCUGGAGAAGGAGCUGGUGCUGCUCAAGCAGGAGCUGGCCAUCCAUGACAGCCUGGCCAACCGUACCCUUGUGAACUAUGAUCCCAUGGAUGAAAUUCAGAUUGCUGAGAUCAACUCCCAGGUGCGGAGGUACCUGGAGGGGACCCUGGAUGAGAUUGACAUCAUCAACCUCAGACAGAUCCAGGAGGUGUUCAACCAGUUCCGGGUGGUGCUGAGCCAACAGGAACAGGAAGUGGAGUCCACUUUGCGCAGGAAAUACACCCUCAUAGACAAGAAUGACUUUGCUGCCAUCUCUGCAGUCCAGAAGGCAGGGCUUGUGGACGUUGAUGGCCACCUAGUGGGUGAGCCUGAUGGACAAGGCUUCGGACUCGGGGUCAUCCCUUACUCUACCAAACCUGGGAAGAAAUCCAAGUCCAAGAAGACGUUCAAAGAACAGCUCAGCUCCUCAGCAAAAAAGGAAGGUGCCAGCAGCCCUGUGAGUGGCAAGGAUUUGGAGGUCUCUACCUCCAAGACCCAGCUGACCCUGUCCUCCAAGGAGGGGGAUGUCAAAGAGCUGCCUCUGCGGGACCGGGAGACCUCCAGCAUUGAGCCUCUUCCCUCAGACUCCCCGAAGGAGGAAUCACGCCCACCCAGGCCCAGUACCCCACCCCCCAAACCUGUGGCCUUUGAGGACUUUAAGAAUGAGCGGGGCAGUGAGAUCAACCGCAUCUUCAAAGAGAACAAGUCCAUCUUGAACGAGCGGAGGAAAAGGGCCAGUGAGACCACACAGCGCAUCAAUGCCAUCAAGCGGGAGAUGGACAUGACCAAGGAGGCACUAAAUUUUCAGAAGUCACUCCGGGAGAAGCAAGGCGAGUAUGAGAGCAAGGGGCUGAUGAUCAUCGACGAGGAGGAAUUCCUGAUGAUCCUGAAGCUCAAAGACCUCAAGAAGCAGUACCGGGCUGAGUAUCAGGACCUGCGUGACCUCAGGGCUGAGAUCCAGUACUGCCAGCACUUGGUGGAUCAGUGUCGCCACCGCCUGCUCAUGGGUGUGCCAUUUGGGAAGAAUUUGAUAUCUGGUACAACGAGUCCUUCUUCAUCCCCGAGGACAUGCAAGUGUCACUGAAGCCAGCUAGUGGCAUCCGGCCAGGCAUGGUGCCUAUCAGCAGGCUCGUGGCUCUGGGAGAAGAUGACCAGGACAAGUUCAGCCAGCUGCAGCAGAUGAUGCUGCCAGAGGGCCCUGACUCCAUCUCCUUCUACAAUGCCAAAGUCAAGACAGAACAGAAGCGCAAUUACUUGAAAACCAUGAUGGGCCUCCAGCAGGGACACAGGAAAUAGGGACUAAUCGCCAAUACCUUAAAGGACAAGACUCCCAGGAACCCCCGCCUGUUCUAUAUGGGCUGCUAAACCACCUGCCCAGAGCUCCAAAUGCUCUGCUCCGAGGCUGGGGCCCAGCACAGAGAACUCACGAGGGCCUGCCUGCCUCCCAACGCAAACAUCCUUCACAGGACACCCUUGCUCAUCUUCACAGAACACUUUUGGUUUCAGUUCACUGUCUUAUAUGCAGGGACAGGAUAAACUAAUUUUCCAGUCUGGACUUUUGAUGCUCACUCAAGAACUUGCUUUUAUUUCCUGUCCAGGAGGAUGUCUUCCCUGUGUACAGGUGGGGUCAGAGCUGAAUCUCCAGUAAGAAGGUGAAAAAGUAGCUUAGCCACCCUCCUCCUGUCCCGGCUUUGUCCCACUGGCCAGCCCCUUUCCUUCUCUGGAUGGACAUCCUGGGGGUGAGCUGGGUCUGAGGAGCCCCACUUCUCACAGCUCCUUCAGGUCAUAGGUUCAUCAGGGCAUCCUUCCUGUGCUCCUGAGCCAGUGAAGGCGGGAGGCCCUCCUUCCUCAGCUACCAGAAGACGAAUGGGUUUAGGUGGAAAUGGCUGAAGGGCAGAUUUUUUUAUCUCACAAUAAGAAGAGGCUUAAAAUGAGAGCAGUGUUACCAUGAAGUUAGCAGGAAGAGCCCCACAGUAGGAGGCUCUCUGGCAAGGAGGUUACAGAACAUGCACUGGAUAGAAGGUUGAACUGGAUGGCAUUGGUCCAGAGACCCCGUGAUUCUGACUUCAGCCCGUCAGUGAACAGAUGGAUGGGGGUUUGUGGAAGACAGAAAGUAGAAAGGCAUCCUUAGGGUCUCUGCCCUCUUCCUGUUCAGCCCCUUUCUCUUUCACUGACUGAUACACAAUGAUCCUAAAAGAGCUUUCAGAGACUUCUACUACGCCAAGGCUUCGCAGAGCAGCUUUGAAGUGCCCCAGCUUCAUCCCCCUGGGUGAGACACACGGGGACUGUCCCUGACCAGCACUAAUGGUGUGCACACAGCCAUGUUGGUCAGUCCUCAUGUUUCCUUUGAUUGUGGCCAAAUAGACAAGUCUGCCCAGGCUCUGCCUACCUUCCCAGCUAGUGGAGGCCUUAGGCAGAGAGUUCGGAUUCUUUCCUUUCUUGGCUGCCCCUGCUCUUACCAGGACUUAUUGGGGGUUCCCAGGUCUUUGGGGCAUCUCAGGAAAGAGGACAUAGCAAACAGGUUACAUCAUCUUGUUGGGGCCACAGGAAGCAACUGUUUGUGGCUUCACCAACCGCCUUUCCUUCAUUCCAGCAGGGCCACAGGCCAGAAUGGCAUGGCCCUGCAGACAUCACUCCCUAGGAUUCCUAGAUGGCCAGUCUCGGGCCUGCUGGCCAGGGCGAGCUGGGCCUCUGUCACGGCAGUUGGGCACAUUCGUCUUUAGCUCAUUCAUUACUACACAGGCCUCUUUGGCACAACGUGAAACAGGCAGUGGCCGGCGUAGGCAGAGCCACAGGAAUAAGCCAGGAUGGUGCUCGGUAGAUCACCCUCCACACAAACUCCUCACAGGAGCAGAUGCUCCCAACGUGACAGGGAGCUAGGGGGCAUCAUGUCCACUCACAUGGGCCUGUUGUUCUAGAAACUAGUUCCAAAAUCACCCCUGAGGGGACUUCCAAUUCCAUCGUGUGACAGAUAAGAUAACCUGACAACUCUUGCUACAAACAGAAAUGCUGGCUC